GAUUCUGGCUCAGGAUGAACGCUAGCGGCAGGCUUAACACAUGCAAGUCGAGGGGCAGCGGGAUGUAGCAAUACAGUUGCCGGCGACCGGCGGAUGGGUGCGUAACGCGUAUGCAACCUACCUAUACAGGGGAUAACCUUUCGAAAGGGAGACUAACACCCCAUAGUAUUGAUUUAAGGCAUCUUAGAUUAAUUAAAUAUUUAUAGGUAUAAGAUGGGCAUGCGUAUGAUUAGCUAGUUGGUAAGGUAACGGCUUACCAAGGCGACGAUCAUUAGGGGUUCUGAGAGGAAGGUCCCCACACCGGUACUGAGACACGGACCAGACUCCUACGGGAGGCAGCAGUGAGGAAUAUUGGUCAAUGGGCGCAAGCCUGAACCAGCCAUGCCGCGUGCAAGGAAGACGGCCUUAUGGGUUGUAAACUGCUUUUACAUAAGACUAACCGUAUAUUUGCGAAUAUACCUGAAUGUAUUAUGAGAAUAAGGAUCGGCUAACUCCGUGCCAGCCGCCGC
rnacentral:rRNA from 1 species